rnacentral:lncRNA from 10 species
CCUCCUGUACUUUGGCUUGUGUCCCCUGGGUUAGAUUCCCAGCCACAGACUAGAGCCAAAACGUGGGCCUCUAUACUCUGCAGCAGUCAGCUCUCCAGCUGAGCCACAGGCGCUUCAGAGAGGAGAGUGGUGCUGCUGAGAAGGCCAUGUGUAGAACCUGACAGCCAUUAACAGCUAUCAACACCCCCAGGGUGUGAAUACCAUUGAUUCCUUUAUUGCUAUUAACAUUUUAGUGUGAAUUAGCUGCUGGCUGUUUGUCAAUUGGCUGGCAGAGAGUGGCUGGGGCAUCCAUACUGUUAAGUUUUGAUAGGAGAUACUGGUCCUCCAGAGGGGAAAAGCCCAGUCCAGCUAUUUCCACCUCUCCCAUGCUACCCUACGUAGCCACACUUGCUUGUCUCAGCCUCACCUGGGCCCUAAAGCAAGGGGUGCCAGAGCAGACUCUCCCCAGAGGUGGUGAGUGCUGUAAUCGCUCCCAUCGCUAUGCUAGGGUUCUGCACCUGGGGCUCAGAUCACUACAUUCCUUUUAACAAUAGUGGUGCCUCAGAUAAAUCUCAUCAGCUAUUGGGUACAGCCAGCGUGGGAAGCUUGGAGAUCACCUAUUUCCUGUUGUUCUCCAGUCUUCUGGCCUGGGAUUCUGAGGGGUUCUAUGAUGAAGGAGGCCACCUCUAAGGAAGAUUAACCAAAGGAAAGGGGACGGCAAGCCAGCCUGUGUCGCAGCGGCUGGUGACCUGGAUUCCUGCCCCUCUUCUGGACCGAGUGGCUGUGCCAGUGUGGGCAUGGGGCCCAAGGCUGCCGGCCUCCCAGGCAUUCACAUUCCACUCCCAGGAGCCCACAGCCUCUAGUGCUGCAGAGCUCCUGCCAGCCUGAUUGGAGCAGCUUAUGACAUGACAGUGGCCAGAAUGACACAGACCUCAGUCCCAUAACCGUCCCUCCAGGCACAAGAUGAAAAGGGACAGGCAGCCACAGCCACCCUCCAGGCUGAACCACCAGUGGCACCGAUUCACUGAUCCUCUCCCCCUGCCCCCACCCACUCCAAGUGAAAAACUAUUUGUUAAACACAACUAUAAAUAAGCCAGAGCAGCUAUUCCAUUUACCAUGAGCGGUGGGUGCUGCUAUUCCACGUCACGUUGAGGAAACCAAGGCCCAGAACGGUUUACCAAUGUGCCCAGGACCCACAGUCAGAAGCUGAGAGGCAAGCCCAGGCUUGUGGCUCUCCCUCAACUCUGGCCUGAUACUUCCCUUUAAAGGUGAACCUGAUUUGAUUCUUUUUUUUUUUUUUUGAGAUGGAAUUUCGUUCUUAUUGACCAGGCUAGAGUGCAGUGGCGCAAUCUCGGCUCACUGCAACCUCCGCCUCCCGAUUCUCCUGCCUCAGCCUCCCAAGUAACUGGAAUUAACAGGCAUAUGCCACCAUGCCUAGCUAAAUUUUUGUAUUUAAUAAAGACAGAGUUUCACCACAUUGGUCAGGCUGGUCUCGAACUCCUGACGUCAGGUGAUCCGCCUGCCUGAGCCUCCAAAAGUGCUGGGAUUACAGGCGUAGCCCCCACACCCGACUUCUUUCCUCCACCUUUGCGUGGGCUCUCCCUUCUCCCUGAAAUAACCUCCCAGCCAUCUUCACCUGUCAGAUCUUAUGCCUUCUUCAU